GAUGAACGCUGGCGGCGUGCCUAAUACAUGCAAGUCGAGCGAACAGACGAGGAGCUUGCUCCUCUGACGUUAGCGGCGGACGGGUGAGUAACACGUGGAUAACCUACCUAUAAGACUGGGAUAACUUCGGGAAACCGGAGCUAAUACCGGAUAAUAUAUUGAACCGCAUGGUUCAAUAGUGAAAGACGGUUUUGCUGUCACUUAUAGAUGGAUCCGCGCCGCAUUAGCUAGUUGGUAAGGUAACGGCUUACCAAGGCAACGAUGCGUAGCCGACCUGAGAGGGUGAUCGGCCACACUGGAACUGAGACACGGUCCAGACUCCUACGGGAGUCAUCAGUAGGGAACCUUCCGCAAUGGGCGAAAGCCUGACGGUGCAACGCCGCGUGAGUGAUGAAGGUCUUCGGAUCGUAAAACUCUGUUAUUAGGGAAGAACAAAUGUGUAAGUAACUAUGCACGUCUUGACGGUACCUAAUCAGAAAGCCACGGCUAAGUACGUG
rnacentral:rRNA from 1 species